ACGUGCCGUGUCCACGCCGGUUCCUGUGCGCCGCCUACACCCACCUGCCGACCGCUCGCUACGUUUUUGUCAGCA
rnacentral:sRNA from 1 species